CUAUGACGUUAGCGGCGGACGGGUGAGUAACACGUGGGCAACCUGCCUGUAAGACUGGGAUAACUCCGGGAAACCGGAGCUAAUACCGGAUAACAUUUUUUCUUGCAUAAGAGAAAAUUGAAAGAUGGUUUCGGCUAUCACUUACAGAUGGGCCCGCGGUGCAUUAGCUAGUUGGUGAGGUAACGGCUCACCAAGGCAACGAUGCAUAGCCGACCUGAGAGGGUGAUCGGCCACACUGGGACUGAGACACGGCCCAGACUCCUACGGGAGGCAGCAGUAGGGAAUCUUCCGCAAUGGACGAAAGUCUGACGGAGCAACGCCGCGUGAGUGAUGAAGGCUUUCGGGUCGUAAAACUCUGUUGUUAGGGAAGAACAAGUACAAGAGUAACUGCUUGUACCUUGACGGUACCUAACCAGAAAGCCACGGCUAACUACGUGCCAGCACGCGCGGUAAUA
rnacentral:rRNA from 1 species